AGCGAACGCUGGCGGCAGGCCUAACACAUGCAAGUCGAACGAACCUUUCGGGGUUAGUGGCGGACGGGUGAGUAACACGUGGGAACGUGCCUUUAGGUUCGGAAUAACUCAGGGAAACUUGUGCUAAUACCGAAUGUGCCCUUCGGGGGAAAGAUUAAUCGCCUUUAGAGCGGCCCGCGUCCGAUUAGCUAGUUGGUUGAGGUAAUGGCUCACCAAGGCGACGAUCAGUAGCUGGUCUGAGAGGAUGAUCAGCCACAUUGGGACUGAGACACGGCCCAAACUCCUACGGGAGGCAGCAGUGGGGAAUCUUGCGCAAUGGGCGAAAGCCUGACGCAGCCAUGCCGCGUGAAUGAUGAAGGUCUUAGGAUUGUAAAAUUCUUUCACCGGGGACGAUAAUGACGGUACACGGAGAAGAAGCCCCGGCUAACUUCGUG
rnacentral:rRNA from 1 species